rfam:Orientia tsutsugamushi str. TT144 ut144.contig.212_1, whole genome shotgun sequence.
AAAGUGCAGUUAUAGAUGGAGAAGCUAGCUCCACCAUAUAGCGCAAGUCUUGUGCUGCUGAAGGUAACGACAGUAGUAAAGCGUAGACAGCGAAACAUUCAAGCUGAAACCAAAUGGUGAACGUGAUAUCCACAAAGGUGUGAUGUAGUAAAGGCCGAUAUGCUCUACUACAUAUUAAACAAAAGAAGAUUGGAGGUCAAGCUAGCGAAAAUCCAAAAGUUUUCAACUGCCGAGGACA